rnacentral:pre_miRNA from 1 species
AAACAGCCCCCUAUGUUUUGAUUCUUUGGCAAUUUUGGACCCCCAAGGCAAAAAUAAAAUAAAAUUGACACGUGGCACCUCACUUAGGGUGCCACGUCAGCGUUGACCGAGUCAACAAUGGACUGGGGUCCAAAACUGCCAAAGAAUCAAAACAUAGGGGGCUGUUU